CCUACGGGUGGCAGCAGUGAGGAAUAUUGGUCAAUGGACGCAAGUCUGAACCAGCCAAGUCGCGUGCAGGAAGACUGCCCUACGAGUUGUAAACUUCUUUUAUAAGAGAGUAAAGUGAGACACGUGUGUCUUUUUGUAUGUACUUUAUGAAUAAGGAUCGGCUAACUCCGUGCCAGCAGCCGCGGUAAUACGGAGGAUUCGAGCGUUAUCCGGAUUUAUUGGGUUUAAAGGGAGCGUAGAUGGGUUGUUAAGUCAGUUGUGAAAGUUCGCGGCUCAACCGUAAAAUUGCAAUUGAUACUGGCAGCCUUGAGAACAGUUGAGGUAGGCGGAAUGCGUGGUGUAGCGGUGAAAUGCUUAGAGAUCACGCAGAACUCCGAUUGCGAAGGCAGCUUACCAAGCUGCCACUGACAUUGAGGCUCGAAAGUGUGGGUAUCAAACAGGAUUAGAUACCCCUGUAGUC
rnacentral:rRNA from 1 species